ACCAAUAACUCAAGGUUCUUGGUGAAGAAUGUUGGAUUUGGCCUAGUUUGUACUCAUCCGUUGACUGCAAAUAUGCUCAUAAGGCCAUAAGGGGCAACUAAUUCUCCUGUCACGUCUGCCAACAAAACCUGCCUGUAAUUCUAGACUCCUUCUCUCCUUCAGCCUUGGCAUUGUACUCCACUUCUUUAACGGCUUCUCCCAUGUGAGGGUCUGCUUCACCAGAUUCUGCUUCUCCAACCU